rnacentral:lncRNA from 1 species
UUGGGCUGGAAGAUAUUUAGAUGAUAGAGUUAUGCUUAAAUAGGCAUUCUAAUCUAUGAAUUUUAUAGAAUUUUUAGUCCAUUCUUAUAGAAUAAUCGAAACAAGUUCUCAAAAAUAGUGGAACAGAAAUACCUUCAACUGCGGACUACUCCGUUCCACGGAUACCUCCAUCCAAACGGGACGAAUUCACCUUCCUUCACGAGAAUCACUGUUGGAUCAUGACAGAGAUCAGAUGGAUUAAGAUCUGCGCGGUGGGUGAUCCAACGGUGGAUUCGAGCGAAGGAAGG